rnacentral:misc_RNA from 1 species
UUAAUUCUAGGUAGAUUCAGACACAGACGGACAUUUGCAUGAAUACGACGCCGUAGCGUCGAAGCACAGCUAGCUUCCUCGGUUUUAAGGGUGAAAGGCCCAAGGGCCAUUCGUCAAUGAUCCCUCCGCAGGUUCACCUACGGAGA